AACAUUUACAACUCCUGCUUAAUCAAUAGGGGAGUACAACCUCCAGCCAGAGAAUGCAUUGCUGCCGGCCCACAGCCCUCCGCAUACAAAAUUCUGCAUAACAACAACAACUGAGUUUGCACGCCUACUGUCUUUUGCCUCACUACUGUCGGAAAAUGGAAAUGCGUCGACACUCUACUGAUACGCGAGACCUGACGAUAGGUCUCUUCCUCAACUUUACUUCUUGGAGGACUGUGAAAAGGACAUAUGCAGAAAGAGAAGAAAUAAUGGGGAGAGUUACAGUGUAAGGGGAGGAUUGUGAAGAAACUGGGAAGGGCACAGGAGAGGAGAAACAGGCAAAAUUGGGGAGGAUGAGAGUAGAUACGUGUGUGCAAGGUGCCAAAUCAUUUAGUGGCCCAGGGGAAAAAUAUCAGUUAUCUUGGUCCCUCCCUAAAAAAGUAAUGUAUCCCUAUACUAGUGCGUACAGUAGUUCUCAACAGC